rnacentral:rRNA from 1 species
GCGGCGUGCUUAACACAUGCAAGUCGAACGGAAAGGCCCUGCUUUUGUGGGGUGCUCGAGUGGCGAACGGGUGAGUAACACGUGAGUAACCUGCCCUUGACUUUGGGAUAACUUCAGGAAACUGGGGCUAAUACCGGAUAGGAGCUCCUGCUGCAUGGUGGGGGUUGGAAAGUUUCGGCGGUUGGGGAUGGACUCGCGGCUUAUCAGCUUGUUGGUGGGGUAGUGGCUUACCAAGGCUUUGACGGGUAGCCGGCCUGAGAGGGUGACCGGCCACAUUGGGACUGAGAUACGGCCCAGACUCCUACGGGAGGCAGCAGUGGGGAAUAUUGCACAAUGGGCGGAAGCCUGAUGCAGCAACGCCGCGUGCGGGAUGACGGCCUUCGGGUUGUAAACCGCUUUCGCCUGUGACGAAGCGUGAGUGACGGUAAUGGGUAAAGAAGCACCGGCUAACUACGUGCCAGCAGCCGCGGUGAUACGUAGGGUGCGAGCGUUGUCCGGAUUUAUUGGGCGUAAAGGGCUCGUAGGUGGUUGAUCGCGUCGGAAGUGUAAUCUUGGGGCUUAACCCUGAGCGUGCUUUCGAUACGGGUUGACUUGAGGAAGGUAGGGGAGAAUGGAAUUCCUGGUGGAGCGGUGGAAUGCGCAGAUAUCAGGAGGAACACCAGUGGCGAAGGCGGUUCUCUGGGCCUUUCCUGACGCUGAGGAGCGAAAGCGUGGGGAGCGAACAGGCUUAGAUACCCUGGUAGUCCACGCUGUAAACGGUGGGUACUAGGUGUGGGGUCCAUUCCACGGGUUCCGUGCCGUAGCUAACGCUUUAAGUACCCCGCCUGGGGAGUACGGCCGCAAGGCUAAAACUCAAAGGAAUUGACGGGGCCCCGCACAAGCGGCGGAGCAUGCGGAUUAAUUCGAUGCAACGCGUAGAACCUUACCUGGGUUUGACAUGGAUCGGGAGUGCUCAGAGAUGGGUGUGCCUCUUUUGGGGUCGGUUCACAGGUGGUGCAUGGCUGUCGUCAGCUCGUGUCGUGAGAUGUUGGGUUAAGUCCCGCAACGAGCGCAACCCUUGUUCACUGUUGCCAGCACGUUAUGGUGGGGACUCAGUGGAGACCGCCGGGGUCAACUCGGAGGAAGGUGGGGAUGACGUCAAGUCGUCAUGCCCCUUAUGUCCAGGGCUUCACGCAUGCUACAAUGGCUGGUACAGAGAGUGGCGAGCCUGUGAGGGUGAGCGAAUCUCGGAAAGCCGGUCUCAGUUCGGAUUGGGGUCUGCAACUCGACCUCAUGAAGUCGGAGUCGCUAGUAAUCGCAGAUCAGCAACGCUGCGGUGAAUACGUUCCCGGGGCUUGUACACACCGCCCGUCAAGUCAUGAAAGUUGGUAACACCCGAAGCCGGUGGCCUAACCGUUGUGGGGGAGCCGUCGAAGGUGGGACUGGUGAUUAGGACUAAGUC